CCUACGGGAGGCAGCAGUGGGGAAUAUUCCGCAAUGGGCGAAAGCCUGACGGUGCGACACCUUGUGGAGGAUGGAGGAUCAUAAAGGUUCGUAAACUCCUUUUGUUAAGGAAUAAAUGUUAUCUAUGUCUCUUUUAGACAUAAGAUAUUCUCACAUGGCAUUGACUGUACUUAAUGGAAGCAAGCAUCGGCUAACUCCGUGCCAGCAGCCGCGGUAAGACGGGGGAUGCAAGCGUUGUCCAGUUGUAUUGGGCGUAAAGCGUUCGUAGGUGGCCCGGUAAGUUUGUUGUUAAAUGUCCAGGCUUAACCUGGAACCAGCAACGAAAACUACCAGACUAGAGAGUGGACGGGGUAAAGGGAAUUUCUAGUGUAGCGGUGAAAUGCGAUAAUAUUAGAAGGAACUCCAGUGGCGAAGGCGCUUUACUAGACCAUAUCUGACAUUCAGGAACGAAAGCUAGGGGAGCAAAAAGGAUUAGGUACCCUUGUAGUCCUAUUGCUGUAAACGAUGGGUACUAGACGUCGCAGUGGUGCGGUGUCUCAGCUAACGCGUUAAGUAUCCCGCCUGGGGAGUACGCUCGCAAGGGUGAAACUCAAAGGAAUUGACGG
rnacentral:rRNA from 1 species